CUGAGCCUGAAGCCAGUCGAUGGUCUUCUUGUCCACUUGGAAAGCCUUGGCGAGGAUUUCAUCCGAGAUGGGGGGAUUCGACCCGAACACAGCAUCGGCGAUGGUGAUGGUGCCAGGGUUUUGGCUGCUGAGAGCACCGAUGGCGAAGGUGUUGGUGUGCCCAGGGUUGAACUGGAAGUGGAUGAGGCCUUGGGGGAACACAAACACAUCACCCUUCUUCAGCAUCUUGGUGAAGAGACGGUUGCCGUCGUCGCUGUUGGAUGUGACGAAGCCGACCAAGAGCUGUCCCUCUAUGACGGUGAGGAUCUCGGUGGCACGGGGGUGAGUGUGGGGCGGGUUGAGGCCAUUGGGGAUGUAGUCGAUGCGAACCAUGGAGAUGCCGAGGGUGUUGAGCCCUGGAAUCUGGAUCACGUUGGCAGGCGUGACAUUGAACCCGAAAUUGUUCUUUCCUGUAUCGCCGGGCAUGUCGAGGCCAGAAAGAGAGAAGUCGUCGGCUUUCACAACCAUGGGGUCCUUGCAGACGAAUCCAUUCACCCGCACUGCAACAGCAGAAGGAAGAAGCAAACUCGGUCGGUAAACAUGCAUCAGGAGAACAAACGCACCGAAGGAAAUUAAUCUGGAUACUAUGAAUACCUUUAGACAUCAUAUCUGCGACACAGAAGUCUUGAAGUUGGCUAGGAUCGGAAGCCAUUGCAAGAGAGGAAGCCAUGGCGAGGAGAACAAGGAGAAACAUUUCGGCGGCCAUCUGUAAUCUCUUAGAUGGAUGGGAUUACCUGGUGCCGUGAUACAGUGGCCUGGAAGAGACGGGUAUAUAUAGAGAAGCAGGCUCUGAAACAUUCAUGAUCAUUAGGUGAAGGAGAUGAAAAGUAUACCAUGUUAGGUUGCUUUCUUCUUGCAAUAUAUUUUCUAUAGCCGUCACCUCGUACGAGAUCCAUAUGAUGCACAGUAACCAUUAAAUUUGUUGACGUGUCUCAGUAACCUAAUCCAUGACCAUUUUAUAUGUAUAUAUAUAAUGAUGGAGCUUUUAGUUAGAUCAUGCUGUAGUGUAAAAUGGACUCUUACGUUCGACUGCAUAAUCCACCACGUGAGAUUUUUGUGACGACCUUACGCUACCAAACAAGAGGAGAAGUCAGCAAAGAUGUGGCAGCUGAACAGAACAAGCUAAGGACAGGUAGAAAGAACAAGAAGCCAAAGAUGUGAUUACCAAUUUGACCUUGUCGGGUCUUGUGUACUGCUACGGCUGAUACCGUGUAUUAUAAUUAAGGUGUUCUACGUCAUCUCCGACUAUUUUCAUCACACUGAGACGUCGCGUGCAUGUUGCAAAGAAGUAUGUAAAUACGUAAGUUCUUAAGAGAUUAUAAGUUGAUAUAAUGCUGUCCAAGAAUAGUAAGCAUGUUGAUAGUUGCCUCUACGUUAAACGCUUAUGGGAUCCUAAGUUAUUAAGAGAUCAUAAGAGAUUUUAAAAAUACUAAAUCUUCGUAUAUAGGUAUACAAGAAUAUUGUACGAUUUAGAUAAAAUCAAUUAUAUUCGUGAUAAAAAUCAAUGAGGUUAGGUGAGAUAAAAUAUUUUUUUUAAUUAAAUAUCUAAAGUAAAAUUAACAUAUCAACAUUACAUUGUUCACAUAAAAUUUAUAAUCAUAUUAUCUAUAAUACGAAAAAAAAAUUAUGUCAAAAUUUAAAAUCAAAUAAUAAUGGAUCUAAAUAAUAUUACGAUGCAUACCUUUCGUUGUUAUUUAGAAGAAUAAAUAUUAUCUGAUCUACAGGCGUAUCAUCGUCGGAUCUAAAUGAAAUACUUCUAUUUAGCCCUUAAGAUCAUAUCUAUUUAUAAACAAAAACAAAGAGUCUAAGAUAAGAUAUUAGAAGAAUUCCUCCCAUAAGGAUAUCCUUGGAAUCCUACUAUAAUAUGAAUUUUUUUUUUAUUAAUCAAUAAUCAUAAUCAGAAUUCAAUCAUAUCUAUAAUAUAUUUUACCUAAUUAAAUAUGACCACACAAUCUAACACUCAAUCAUAAAUCCACGAAUCAUAAAUCCAUAAAAAACCAGAAUUUUUGAACUCAUUUCAACCGAGUUCCCAAAAAGUUUAUUAAGUAAAUAAGAUAUUAUUAUGAAUACAAAACAUUUUAAAGUUUUAUAGAUGAUAAUUCUUUUCUAGAAGGUUCUGCCAGCGAGGAUGAAUAAAAAAAAAAGAAAAAUAUCGAUAUAAUAUUUGUAAUUUAUAUAAAUAUAAACAUUUUUCGUCCAUCCAACUCAGCGACCUCUCUGGCAAUCAGAAAGAUUUCAAUAACGAUCAAACAAAGGCUAAUCGAUUAUUUCAGUCAUCAGAUUUUGGUGGCAACGACAUGUUACCAAACACCAUAAAGAAGCUCUCAAAGUCCGACCACGAGACAAGACAAAGUUGCCAGUACGAAUCCGUCUCCGUUCUUCGACCUCGUUCCAUACUGUAUAUUACGAUCGAAGUGAACUGUGUCAUCUUCAACUAUUUCACCAUCACACUGUUUAUAUAUUAUUAUGGUCUAUUUGUGAUCACAACAUAAGAGUUCAAAUUCAUAAUUAUAUUUCAUUUUAGUAAAUGAAUAAAUUGGAGUGAUUGAUACCGCCGGUUAUAGGUGGAUGCAAUCGAGCCAUAUACUACUACUGAACUUUGUAGAUCCCAUGUCAUACAAGUCAAGACAAAAGCACUCCUUUCGGGAAUUCUUGGUGAUGACUUGUUGAAGUUAUGAUCGUGUAUACAAUAUCUCAUGUUUCAGUCAUAAUAUUUGCAUAAAUUGACUUAUUACCGGUAUAUUUUAGUAAAGUUGUCUGCAUAGAUAUAUAAAGUUCAUGAACCUGAGGGAGGAUAAACAUAAGGUGGAUAAAGAAGUAUGCAUAUAUAUAUAUAAUAUGAGAUAUUACACUUUUUGAGGAUGCUGCACUCCAUAUAAUCUAUAAUCUUCCAGGUGGGAAAUACUAUCAUAUGAUCUAAAUAUUGAAAUAUGACUCAUGGAUUUCUUUCUUAAAAAUCAAGUUUUAUUUAUUAUAUUUAAUGACGUGUUUAUAUGAAAUUUGCAACAGUACACCAAUCGUAUGUCAAUAGAGAUGACUCGAGAAUUCUGAAACAUGACACACUUCAUACGUACUUUUCAUAACAUAGAAAGGUCUCUUAAUUCCAUUACAAUAGCAAACGCAAACAGGUAGUCCACUGUUUGCUUAUUCACACCAAAACACACGAGCUAAGAGUGCAGCUUAAUUCAUUCCUCCGACUAGUUUUUCUUCGCGAACUGAGCCUGAAGCCAGUCGACAAGCUUCUUGUCCACUUGGAAAGCCUUGGCGAGGAUUUCAUCCGAGAUGGGGGGAUUCGCCCCGAACACAGCAUCGGCGAUUGUGAUGGUGCCGGGGUUUUGGCUACUGAGAGCACCGAUGGCGAAGGUGUUGGUGUACCCAGGGUUGAACUGGAAGUGGAUGAGGCCUUGAGGGAACACAAACACAUCACCCUUCUUCAGCAUCUUGGUGAAGAGGCGGUUGUCGGUGUUGGAUGUGACGAAGCCGACUAAGAGCUGUCCCUCUAUGACGGUGAGGAUCUCGGUGGCACGGGGGUGAGUGUGGGGCGGGUUGAGGCCUUUGGGGAUGUAGUCGAUGCGAACCAUGGAGAUGCCGAGGGUGUUGAGUCCUGGAAUCUGCAUCACGUUGGCAGGCGUGACAUUGAACCCGAACUUGUUUCCGGUAUCGCCAGGCAUGUCGAGGCCAGAAAGAGAGAAGUCGUCGGCUUUCACAACCAUGGGGUCCUUGCAGACGAACCCAUUCACCCGCACUGCAACAGCAGAAGGAAGAAGCAAACUCGGUCGGUAAACAUGCAUCAGGAGAACAAACGCACCGAAGGAAAUUAAUCUGGAUACUAUGAAUACCUUUAGAGUCCUUAUCUGCGACACAGAAGUCUUGAAGUUGACUAGGAUCAGAAGCCAUUGCCAGAGAGGAAGCCAUGGCGAGGAGAACAAGGAGAAACAUCUCGGUGGCCAUCUGUAAUCUCUUAGAUGGAUGGGAUUACUUGGGGCCUUGAUACAAUGGCCUGGAAGAGACGGGUAUAUAUAGAGAAGCAGGCUCUGAAACAUUCACGAUCAUUAGGUGAAGGAGAUGAAAAGUAUACCAUGUUAGGUUGCCUUCCUCUCGCGAUAAUAUUGUCUAUAGCCGUCUCCUCGUACGAGCUUCAUCUGAUGCAGGGUAACAAAUAGGUUUUUUGACGCUGUCUCAGUGAUUGCUUGAAUGCAUGCGUUCGCCGACAAAGAAAAAUAGUUCUUUAGUUUAAUGCAUCCAACCUAAUCCAUGACCACAUCGUAUACACAAUAAUGGAGCUUUUCAACCUAAUCCGAAAUCCACCGGGUGAGAUUUUGGUGACGACGUCAAGAUACCAAGCACGAUGAGAAGUUUGCAAACAUGUGGGAGAUCAGGUGAACAAGAGCAAGGUUGUGUCAAAAGAACAAGACAAUAGUGUGUCGUUGCCAAUUUGACUUCGUCUGAUGCCGUGUAUUAUGAUUCAAGGUAUUCUUUGUCAGUACAAAGUAUGUAUGUAUGUAUAGCAUGCACAUCAGUGGUGACACCUUCCUUCCUUAUUGCGAUACCCAAUAUGACUGACUUCAUAUAAUGUUAAUCUUAGUACUUGAGAGAUGAAAAGAAGGGAAAAGAAUAGAAGAGAAUAAUAUCAUAUUCAUAAAAAUUGAGAGAAUGGAAUUACAUAUAUUGGAUUUAGCACACAUCCCAACAAGAUUAACUUUUUGGGUUAAUUAGGUUACCGAUCUAUAUAAUUUUUACCCUGGCUAAGUUAAUUUAUCAUGAUCGAUUUCGACAAAUGAGUCAAAAAGAUUAAAGGAUACAGAUAUUAGUGGUAUUUUUUCACCUAAAUUAUUAGACCAACUUGAUUUAACUUGGAAAAAGACAAAAAAAAAAAGAUUUUGGAAACUGUUAUACUGCCUAAUUUUGAGUCAGUUCAAUCCUCUUGAAUCAGUUUCAAUUCUCUUGAUUGAAUUAUAGGUCAACUCUUUCUCUCUCUCUCUCUCUCAUUUGGGAAAGUGAGAUCAUUUGUAAUCAAGCAAAAUUUCUUGCUCUGAAUAAAUAAAAAAAACUAUAUAUAUCAAUAAAUCUAUACUAUUUUUUUAGUUUUUCAAUUGAACUAAAAUUCACUGUGUGAUUUUGUUAAACCAAAAAUACAUCUCUUAUGAUAGAAAUAGCAUUUGCUUCAUGUAAGGUCUUGAUUUCGUUAUUCUUCAAUUGAUGUGGGAUUUAUAUUUUGUAUCUUGUCUUAAAAUUCAUAUACUUGAUCUAAAAUUUAUGAUUUUAUUAUUAUCAUUAAUUUUCUUUAUCGAAAGAUUAGAGUACACGUUAAACUGCCUAACACGAAAUCAUAUGAUUUUGUGCAUUCAAAGUGGACCCAAAAGACAUCUCAGGAUAGAAAUAACAAUUGUUUGGAACGAAGCAAGAGACAUAUUCUAUCGCAAAAACAAUUGCAAAUAGUUAUCCACUGUUUGCUUAUUUAAAGCACAUAAUUUCAGCACGUCAUGUCAACUUGCAACAACGAAGCUUUCUAGUUGUUGUUGUCCAUCCAGAACUGAGCCUGAAGCCAGUCGAUGGUCUUCUUGUCCACCUGGAAAGCCUUGGCCAGAACAUCGUCAGAGAUGGGUGGCUUCGACCCGAACACAGCGUUAGCGAUGGUGAUCGUGCCGGGGUUUUGGCUACUAAGAGCACCGAUUGCGAUAGUGUUGCAGUUGCCGGGAUUGAACUGGAAGUGGAUGAGGCCCUCAGGGAACACAAACACAUCGCCCUUCUUCAGCAUCUUGGUGAAGAGACGGUUGUCGGUGUUGGAUGUGACGAAGCCGACCAAGAGCUGUCCUUCUAUGACGGUGAGGAUCUCGGUGGCACGGGGGUGAGUGUGGGGAGGGUUGAGGCCUUUGGGCCCGUAGUCGAUGCGAACCAUGGAGAUGCCGAGGGUGUUGAGUCCGAUGAGCUUGUUCACGUUGACGGCAGUGACCAUGGAGCCGAGCUUGUUUACCGUGUUGCCGGCUUUGUCGAGUCCCAUGAAGAAGAAGUCUUCGGCUGUCACGUGCUUGGGGUCUUUGCAGACGAAUCCAUUCACCAGCACUGCAGCAGCAACAAGAAAACUCGAUCAGUAAACAUGCAUUAAUCGAAAUCGUGGACCUGCAGGUACGGUGUUCGAUCCUUAAACUCGCCUUUAGAGUCCUUAUCGGCGACGCAGAAGUCUUGAAGAGGGCUAGGAUCAGAAGCCAUUGCGAGAGAGGAAGCCAUGGCAAGGAGAGCGAUGAGGAGGAUUUUGGCUGCCAUCCCUGUAAUCUUCAGGACGGAUGAAGCUACAAUUGGUGUUGUGAUACAAAUGCACGAAGGAGAUGGAUAUAUAGAGAGGGGGAGGGGGAGAGAGGCAGGGUUGAAACAUUCUUGAUCAUUUGGUAAGAGAGCUGAAUAGUAUGCCUUUUGCUUAUAAUAAUAAUAAUGUCUAUGGACUGUGCGUGCUUCUUAUCUUGUGCAGAGAAAGAGUCUACCAAGAGGAGCUUAGUUAUUCUCCACUUGGUUUUGGUCAACGACUAUAUCUUGUAUGUAGUAAAUGCCAUUCAAUCGACAGCGUUUUGAUGAUGGCAGGUCGCUACCAAAUGCCAAGCAAAUUCAUGGAACCAGUGGAGCAUAUGGAUCCACCAGAAGUGCUAGUGAACCAAUGAUCUCAGUUUGACUUCAUCUAACAUCAAGUACUAAUAAUGGAAGGCGUUUUCUGUCACCUUCGAACAUGACCAGGACAAUGCGUGCAGCGACUUCAUCUAACAUCGAAUUCUAUAGUGCAAGCGUUCCGUGUGCGUUGACUGGCAUUAUAUAGAUCGCGUAUACGAGUACUGACACCUUCGCUCUUCGUCGCAACAUCACAUUGGAAAUCGUGUUCAUCGUUAUGUGAUACGUGAUGCGGUGGGUAAAAGAAGGCACACAUGAACUGAAACCUUCGUUCGACAUGUUCUUACAAUCGAGAAUGAGUCUGACUCGAUUUUGUUGAUUAGCAUACACUAAAAUUAAUAUAAAUUCAGCAUACACAAACUCAAUAUAUGUAAUUAGGCUCACUUAGUUAUUAUCUAUGGGACUAAUCUAACAACCUUCUCUUCAUAUAUAUUAGAAUCGAUGCUAAUUUAACUUGUAAGUUUAAGUGUGUAGAUUAUGGGUCAAACCCAAUAUAUAUAACCCAACUUUUUAAUUUUUGUUAGGCUCAUCUUCCUCAUCUUUUCAAUCUUCAUUUCACAUUUCAACAUUUCAUAAUAUUUCAAUAUAUUUUAAAUAACUUUAAUUGAGUUUAUAAUGAGCUCAAUAAAAUAGUAAAUCCUAAUUAUUCAGAGUCAUCCGAGUUUAACACUAACAAAUAGAUUUGCUGCAAUGUGGCUUAGCAAUUAAUAAUGAUCUCAUCAGUGAUCUCGCUCUCAAUUGUUGACUCUUAACAUGAUAUUUAUUUUUAGUCGGAAAACAUGAGGAUUAUUCCGAUCACUACAGAGAAAACAAACUGUAAUAACAUGCAAACGGCUGACUUCGAUCGAUCGCCAAGUGUUUGCUUAUUGGAAUGUUAACAUGGAUGUGAAGAAGCUGCAGUGGUGGUGUUUCUUCUGUUGUUGUUGUCCAUCUAGAACUGAGCCUGAAGCCAGUCGAUGGUCUUCUUGUCCACCUGGAAAGCCUUGGCCAGAACAUCAUCGGAGAUGGGCGGCUUCGACCCGAACACAGCGUUGGCGAUUGUGAUGGUGCCGGGGUUUUGGCUACUGAGAGCACCGAUGGCGAUAGUUUUGGUGUGCCCAGGGUUGAACUGGAAGUGGAUGAGGCCUUGUGGGAACACAAACACAUCACCCUUCUUCAGCAUCUUGGUGAAGAGACGGUUGCCGUCGUCGGUGUUGGAUGUGACGAAGCCGACCAAGAGCUGUCCUUCUAUGACGGUGAGGAUCUCGGUGGCACGAGGGUGAGUGUGGGGAGCGUUGAGGCCUCUGGGUGCGUAGUCGAUGCGAACCAUGGAGAUGCCGAG
rnacentral:lncRNA from 1 species